CGCACAUUGCGCCCUUUGGCAUUCCGAGGGGCAUGCCCGUUCGAGCGUCAUUAAAUCCAAUCAAGCCCGGCUUGGUAUUGGGCGUCGGGGACUCCCCGCGCUCCAAUUUCGCCGGCUGGCCGUCGCCUGUCUUAGCGUUGCGACUUGUUAUUCGCUAUCGACGGGACCGGACCACGCCGUUAAAAACCCCAAAUUUCAAUCGAAAUUUGAUUAAGGUUGACCGCGGAUCGGGUAGGAAUACCCGCUGAACUUAA
rnacentral:misc_RNA from 1 species